rnacentral:rRNA from 1 species
UACGGAGGGGCUAGCGUUGUUCGGAAUUACUGGGCGUAAAGCGCGCGUAGGCGGACCUGCAAGUCGGGGGUGAAAGCCCGAGGCUCAACCUCGGAACUGCCUUCGAUACUGCGGGUCUCGAGUCCGGGAGAGGUGAGUGGAAUUCCUAGUGUAGAGGUGAAAUUCGUAGAUAUUAGGAAGAACACCAGUGGCGAAGGCGGCUCACUGGCCCGGUACUGACGCUGAGGCGCGAAAGCGUGGGGAGCAAACAGGG